UGGGGAAUUUUGGACAAUGGGGGAAACCCUGAUCCAGCCAUCCCGCGUGUGCGAUGAAGGCCUUCGGGUUGUAAAGCACUUUUUGGCAGGAAAGAAACGUCGCGGGUUAAUACCCCGCGAAACUGACGGUACCUGCAGAAUAAGCACCGGCUAACUACGUGCCAGCAGCCGCGGUAAUACGUAGGGUGCAAGCGUUAAUCGGAAUUACUGGGCGUAAAGCGUGCGCAGGCGGUUCGGAAAGAAAGAUGUGAAAUCCCAGAGCUUAACUUUGGAACUGCAUUUUUAACUACCGGGCUAGAGUGUGUCAGAGGGAGGUGGAAUUCCGCGUGUAGCAGUGAAAUGCGUAGAUAUGCGGAGGAACACCGAUGGCGAAGGCAGCCUCCUGGGAUAACACUGACGCUCAUGCACGAAAGCGUGGGGAGCAAACAGGAUUAGAUACCCUGGUAGUCCACGCCCUAAACGAUGUCAACUAGCUGUUGGGGCCUUCGGGCCUUGGUAGCGCAGCUAACGCGUGAAGUUGACCGCCUGGGGAGUACGGUCGCAAGAUU
rnacentral:rRNA from 1 species